rnacentral:rRNA from 1 species
AUGCUCGCCGCCCGGUCGCCCACCUUCAAGGCGGAGCUCGCGCUGACUACCGCAACGAACAUGCUACACAUCGACGGCAUGGAUGCUGCAGUCUUCAAGGCCAUGCUUCACUUCAUCUACACGGACACGCUGCCGAAGGAGGUAGAGCUGGCGACGAUGGCGAAGCCGCUGCUCGUGGCGGCGGACAAGUACAAGCUCGAGAGGCUGAAGCUGAUCUGCGAGGAGGAGCUGUGCGGGCACAUCGGCGUGCAUUCGGUGGUGGCCGCCAUGCUGGCGCUGGCGGAACAGAACUGUUGCCGCGUGCUCAAGGAGGCUUGCACGCAGUUCCUCUCUGAGCCCGGGAAUCUGAAAGCAGCCAUGGCGACAUCUGAUUUUGAGCAGCUGAAGACGGGUUGCCACCAUGCUCUUAUGGAGCUCGUCAUGAAGCAGUAUAUUACCGCGACAGAAGCAUAG